AGAGUUUGAUCAUGGCUCAGGAUGAACGCCGGCGGUGUGCCUAAUACAUGCAAGUCGUACGCACUGGCCCAACUGAUUAAUGGUGCUUGCACCUGAUUGACGAUGGAUCACCAGUGAGUGGCGGACGGGUGAGUAACACGUAGGUAACCUGCCCCGGAGCGGGGGAUAACAUUUGGAGACAGAUGCUAAUACCGCAUAACAACAAAAGCCACAUGGCUUUUGUUUGAAAGAUGGCUUUGGCUAUCACUCUGGGAUGGACCUGCGGUGCAUUAGCUAGUUGGUAAGGUAACGGCUUACCAAGGCGAUGAUGCAUAGCCGAGUUGAGAGACUGAUCGGCCACAAUGGAACUGAGACACGGUCCAUACUCCUACGGGAGGCAGCAGUAGGGAAUCUUCCACAAUGGGCGCAAGCCUGAUGGAGCAACACCGCGUGAGUGAAGAAGGGUUUCGGCUCGUAAAGCUCUGUUGUUGGAGAAGAACGUGCGUGAGAGUAACUGUUCACGCAGUGACGGUAUCCAACCAGAAAGUCACGGCUAACUACGUGCCAGCAGCCGCGGUAAUACGUAGGUGGCAAGCGUUAUCCGGAUUUAUUGGGCGUAAAGCGAGCGCAGGCGGUUGCUUAGGUCUGAUGUGAAAGCCUUCGGCUUAACCGAAGAAGUGCAUCGGAAACCGGGCGACUUGAGUGCAGAAGAGGACAGUGGAACUCCAUGUGUAGCGGUGGAAUGCGUAGAUAUAUGGAAGAACACCAGUGGCGAAGGCGGCUGUCUGGUCUGCAACUGACGCUGAGGCUCGAAAGCAUGGGUAGCGAACAGGAUUAGAUACCCUGGUAGUCCAUGCCGUAAACGAUGAGUGCUAGGUGUUGGAGGGUUUCCGCCCUUCAGUGCCGGAGCU
rnacentral:rRNA from 1 species